UUAGAAAAGAACAAGUCCCCUUGAAGUUAAGAGGGUUAGAAAAGCAAGUCUCCUUUAACGUAGUUAAUUACCUAUAGUAAGGGUCUCUACGGAGAAUCUUGAGUCUUGUGUAGGCCACCUAACGCUGGUUUUUGAGGUAACAAAAAAGUGCUAGUGGGAAGAAGUACACCCAUGUGGAUACUUGUUUGAUAAGAUGCCGACUCCUUUCCAU
rnacentral:lncRNA from 1 species